rnacentral:lncRNA from 1 species
UUUAAUGAUAUCUGUAUUUGUUUGUCAUCUUUUCUGUUUUUUCAUCGUUUUGAAUUAAAUUCUAUUUUUUUCUAACAGCGUUUAUUCGUGACUUUGGAUUGACAUUUGAUUUAUCACAAUUCAGUUGUCUCUGUUUUAGUGUUGAUAAAGUACCUGUGUAUUCAAAUAUCCCUGUUGUUUGGACAAACAAUGUGCGUUACCAUGAAUAAAAGAAGAUGUGUAUAUGCCUCGUUCAGAUUGCAACCCGACGACAGCUAUAUAUUUUAAUAUAUCAUAAUUAAAUUCAUAUAAACACAAAUGAUUUCAAUUUCUUUCUCUGGAUUUUACAUUAUUCUUUUCUUACAUCCCACUGUAUAUGCAAAAAUAUAUCAACAAUAUAACAAAUAAGUACUUU